UACGGAGGGUGCAAGCGUUGUCCGGAAUCAUUGGGCGUAAAGAGUUCGUAGGCGGUUUGUUAAGUUAGAUGUUAAAUACUGAGGCUCAACCUCAGCACGGCAUUUGAUACUGGCAGACUUGAAUGCGGUAGAGGUAAAGGGAAUUCCUGGUGUAGCGGUGAAAUGCGUAGAUAUCAGGAGGAACAUCGGUGGCGUAAGCGCUUUACUGGGCCGUAAUUGACGCUGAGGAACGAAAGCCAGGGUAGCGAAUGGG
rnacentral:rRNA from 1 species